ensembl:lncRNA
AUGGUUUCCAUGGUAACGGUUUAUUUUGCUCCAUAAAUUAGGAGACUAGCUAAUACAUAACAUUCGGAAAGGCUGCAACUACACUAUUAAAACAUAUGAGAAUGUUAUGAAUCAAACAUCAGUAAACAGAGUAAACACAUAAGACAAUAAUCAGACUGUCAUGGGCAGAGCAAUGGCAACUACAAUGUUUCGAACCGUUUCGGUUAUUUUGAGGCAGGGCCCAACUGAACAGGCAUGCAUGUGUACGUGUUUUGAAUAAGCAGCCCGCACAGAUGGACUAACGGUAAGCAUUUUAGGAAGCAUCACGGCCCUGCAGUGCCCCAUGCUGCACAGCCACAUUAAGCAGGCUUAGCUGAAUGUAGGUGAAAGGUCUUUCUCUCGCGCGCGCUUCUCGAAGCAGCUCCCUGCAGAGGAAGGAAAGAGUGGGGGAGGGGACCUUGUGGUAUUCAGAGGAAAAGCGGGAAGAAAAGAUCAUGGUGAUGUUAGUUCUUACUGAAGACAACUUGAAAGGUUUGUCUGCACAAGAACCGAAUAAACAAAUGUUGGAAGGAAAGGAGAAAAGACGAAAGGGCAAGAGAAGGUAGGAGGAGAGACCUUCUGUUUAAAGCUUUUACACACUUCGAGGUUUGAUAAGAUUACAGCCAAACAGAUGCAAACCCUUCAACCUGAACAAAAAGAACAAAAUCGCUGUAUUUGAAAUAGCCUUUUUGCCCAGUCAAUGACUUAACAUAGCUUGUUUGCAUAAAGUUCAGACAGGCUUCCAGAGCACGUCUAGUGAACUACAACAAAUUCAAAUGAGCUUUAGUUAUAGCCACUGAAAUAUUUAAUGACUACAAGUUACAUUUAACUGAUAUCUAUUUUUAAUAUUUCCAUUAACUGCAGGAGCCUCACACAUGCCUGUGUUGCCUCGAAGCCUUCCUCUGUUUACUGCCAGCAAAGACAGCAUUUUUUAAACAUGGCCAACAUGAUUGCUAUGGCAACAAAAUUAAUUUUACAUCUGGUCAUGUGAUUAAUCAAAUAAUUAUCUAAUCAUGACAUUUAGCAUUUAUUUCGGAGGCAACCGUACCCCUGCCCCACCCCAUAUAUCAC